AAACUAACAGAUUUACUUCGGUAAUGACGUUAGGAAAGCGAGCGGCGGAUGGGUGAGUAACACGUGGGGAACCUGCCCCAUAGUCUGGGAUACCACUUGGAAACAGGUGCUAAUACCGGAUAAGAAAGCAGAUCGCAUGAUCAGCUUUUAAAAGGCGGCGUAAGCUGUCGUUAUGGGAUGGCCCCGCGGUGCAUUAGCUAGUUGGUAAGGUAAAGGCUUACCAAGGCGAUGAUGCAUAGCCGAGUUGAGAGACUGAUCGGCCACAUUGGGACUGAGACACGGCCCAAACUCCUACGGGAGGCAGCAGUAGGGAAUCUUCCACAAUGGACGCAAGUCUGAUGGAGCAACGCCGCGUGAGUGAAGAAGGUUUUCGGAUCGUAAAGCUCUGUUGUUGGUGAA
rnacentral:rRNA from 1 species